CAGACAGCUGCUGCGUACAAAGCUGUUGUCACCUAUGCUGGAAUGGGAAAGGCAGGAAUUCAGAUGGGCAAUUGGGCGAAAGUUACGAAGGGUCUGAACUAUGCGACCAAGUUUAAUCUUCACAAAGUUUCAACUAUACAUAUACAUUGGGGGCGAGGUUGCAACCCCACCUGCUUUCGUUGAGAAACAUCGACCAAUUUUCGUCGAAUCUUCUGAAAUUUAAUUUACUCAUAAUUUUUGUGAAAUAUUCCUUAUAUUUGAUUGCUGAAUUACAUUAUUAACGAUUGGGUU